GUGCAUUCCUCUUUGGCCACCUUCGCAUCCUCGGAGCUCUCGAAGUACACGAAUGAGAAUCCACGCGAUUUUCCAGUCUAUACGCAAUAAUCAAUCAAUAAUAACACUAAUAAUGUCCAUACUUGGAAAAGAUGUGAUACAACUCAACCUCGGUAGUAUACACGCUAAGACCAAAGACUCCCAGACACCCAGAAGGUUUGGGAUUAUCACGGGGGCCUAUAUGCCGCCGUCGUGAAGACAUCGGGCUGUGGGAUGGUGAACGGCGCCCGCCGUAUGAACGUGAACGAGAGCGUGAAUAACGCGACACUUUGUAGUGCUUAUCAGACCGCGAUCGGCUUCUUGAUCUACAACAAACAUUUCAGAUGAAAAACAAACUAAAUUCAUAUAAGUUUAAUUUAUCAGUACCUGUAUCUUCUGCUUUCCCUAUAUCUGUCGCGGUCAUCUCGUCCACCAUCACGUCGAUCGCGACGAUCCCGAUCACGAUCGUCACGAUAAUUACUCCCGCGACUCGGGCUUCGGUCGCGCUUUACUUUGUGACCACGCGGCGAUUCGUCGCGUCUAUCAUGAUGCGGCGACCUGUCGCGAUCCCUUUCUCGGUCCCGGUCGCCGUCGUUCAUUUGAAGAUGGUUGUGGUGAUUCGGCGGAGAUCGACUUAACUAUGACAUAAAUUCAAUUAGUAUUAUCACAAACUCAUUCACAUUUAUAGAAAUACUUGUGUAUCAGUCAUUAUGUAUGUGUAUGUUACGAGUUUUUGCAGACUUAGCGAAUUAUUAUAUGAGUUGUGCACCAGUCAUUUAACUGACAUAACUGUCGUUAUUUUGGAGACGCAAACAAACAAAAUAAAACACGCCGUGUGGAUUCUGGCAAAAAGUGUGCGGAAACGCAGCGAGCCUUGCCAGAAAUAGCCAUCACUUUCCCAAGUGCAUUUUGCGAAAAGCAAAACGCUGGCAAAUACACGAAUCUAGCACACAUAAAAA